GACGAACGCUGGCGGCGUGGAUUAGGCAUGCAAGUCGAACGGUAUCAUCCUUUCGGGGGUGAGAGAGUGGCGAACUGGUGAGUAACACGUAGGUUAUCUACCCUCAAGACGGGGACAACCCAGGGAAACUUGGGCUAAUACCGGAUGUGAGCAACUUUUAGUUGUUUGAAAGGUGGCGUAAGCUGUCGCUUGGGGAUGAGCCUGCGUCCUAUUAGUUAGUUGGUGAGGUAACGGCUCACCUAGGCAAUGAUAGGUAGGCGGCCUUAACGGGUGGUCGCCCACACUGGGAUUGAGAUACGGCCCAGACUCCUACGGGAGGCAGCAGUCGAGAAUAGUCUACAAUGGUCGGAAGACUGAUAGUGCGACGCCGCGUGAACGAUGAAUCCCUUCGGGGUGUAAAGUUCUUUUAUAUGUGAGCAGUGCUUCUUAUAUUAACAGUAUGGGGAAGAGAUAUUAGCAUAUGAAUAAGCAACGGCUAACUCCGUGCCCAGCAGCCGCGGUAAUA
rnacentral:rRNA from 1 species